CCGCAGGGCUGUGGGCGGCCGUGACCCUGGUGGAGUCCGGGGGUGACCUCAAGGCCCCGGGGGAGUCCCUGCGGCUCCUCUGCCGCGCCUCCGGCUUCACCUUCAGCAGCUACGGAAUGGGUUGGAUGCGCCAGAGCCCCGGGAAGGGGCUGGAAUGGGUCGCUGGGAUCAACAAUGCUGGUGGCACCGGCUACGCGCCGUCGGUGCAGGGCCGGUUCACCAUCGCCAGGGACAACGGGCAGAGCUCGGUGACGCUGCAGAUGAACAACCUCAGGGAGGAGGAUUCCAACACCUAUUUCUGCGGCAAGAGUUAUGAUGCUGAUGAAGCUUGUGCUGAUGAUAUCGACGCCCUUUGUCCCCACCUGUCCCCAAACCCCAGACCCUCCCCCAAACCUCCACCCUUCGCACCCAGCUCUCGGUCGUUGGUCCCGACCUCGGGCUUCUUUUGCCCCAAACCUCAACCUUUGGCCCCAAAUCUCAACCGUUGA